rnacentral:rRNA from 1 species
AGCGUAGACGGCGCAGCAAGUCUGAUGUGAAAGGCAGGGGCUUAACCCCUGGACUGCAUUGGAAACUGUUGUGCUUGAGUGCCGGAGGGGUAAGCGGAAUUCCUAGUGUAGCGGUGAAAUGCGUAGAUAUUAGGAGGAACACCAGUGGCGAAGGCGGCUUACUGGACGGUAACUGACGUUGAGGCUCGAAAGCGUGGGGAGCAAACA